rnacentral:lncRNA from 10 species
CUAGUAACUAGAGUCAGUGAAAGGAUAGUUUUCUACUUCAAUCACUUGUGACAUUGCCUCUAAAAAUUAUAGACAGCUGCUCAGAAUUGAUUGAGGAUGACCUCUUACCAACAGCCAGCAAGAAGGCAGGCCCUCAGCUGAAUGGCCACAAGGAAAUAAAUUCUACCAACACUGUGAGAAAAUUUGGAUAUGGAAUCAUCCUCAGUCAAGCCAUCAGAUGAAAACACAGCCUGUCAAAUACCUUGAUUAUAGCCUUUUGAGACCCUAACCAGUCAGGAAUCUAAGAGACCAGUAAAAGAUAACCUUAUGAUACAUUAUGUGCUGUUGCAUUUCUACUCUUUCCGGAUGCGAAAGUGGAUAUUGACUUCAUAAAUUCAACACUACUUGACUUUGAUUGACAGGAGAGGCCAGAGAAAUAAGUGUGGAAGAUAUUAAAUCAUACAGCAACCCACAUUCACUCUUGUUGAGAAUAACUUAUGUAAAUAAAGAAUGUUACAGAUGGAAGUAUGUAAUUGUAAUUCCUGAAAACAGUGUAGAUGGAGAAAAAGUUUGAAAGUUCCCAGCACAAAGUGGAAACCUAAAUACUUGUGUUGUUUCCAUAAAACACCUGAAGAACAAAGCAUAAAUGAUACCAAAUGAGUAAAAACAACUCCAUGAUCAUUUACAUUAGAAGAAUCAUAUGCAAGACCAAUAAUGAUUUUUAAAAACUAAAGUUUUAUGUUGUGAGAUUAUCUAACAUCUUACAGAACUUUUCCCUUCUGUCAUAGGCACUUGCUCUGUAAUGUUAACUUACUUGAUUAUUAAAACCUCUAAAUCAGCUAGACACCUAAAGACCUACAUGGCUGACUAUAUAGCAUUGUUUCUUUAAGGUAAUUUAAACUGAAAAGGAGGAUAACACAUAUUUAAGUAAUAUGUAGCAAUUGUUCAGUUUUUCUUUUUUCUUAAAAUUUUAAAUUUUGCAAAUAAUUUCUUAAUUCAGUCUUGAAUGUUAUAAAAUUAUAUUUUUGUUAUUUAUAUAAAAUGAUAGAGUAUAGAAAAUGUAGAUGAUCAUUGCAAUGAUUUGUGUCACAUAAACCCAAUUGUGCACCCAAAUAGAUAGUUUGGAUCUUGUAGAAAUAAAGUAUUUUAUUGUGGACCAGAAUGAUUGGUAUGAAAGUAUUAUAUAGCCCAUAUCCUAAAAUAUCAUCUUCAUAGUACAUACAUGUGCACUGGAAAAUUCGGUCUCAAAAAUUAAUGAAAUCAAGAUUUUUUUUAAAAAAAGCUUUGCAUAUUGAUUUCAAGAUUUUUUCCUAAAAAACUGCAUAUUGGUUUCUCAGUUACUUGUAUAACUAUUCCAAAUCUCUUUUUUCCCAUAUGAACAAUAUUCUUCAGACAUAAGUAGUUUGUUGGGUCCACAUUAAUUAUAUGUGAACUGUCU